AAUCAACGCUGGCGGCGUGCCUAACACAUGCAAGUCGAACGAGAAAGUGGGGGCAACCCUGCGAGUACAGUGGCAGACGGGUGAGUAACACGUGAACAACCUACCCUUGAGUGGGGAAUAACACCGCGAAAGCGGUGCUAAUACCGCAUAAAAUCUUGAGGUCGCAUGGCUUUAAGAUCAAAAGCGCAAGUUGCUUGAGGAGGGGUUCGCGGCUGAUUAGCUAGUUGGUGAGGUAACGGCCCACCAAGGCAACGAUCAGUAGCCGGCCUGAGAGGGUGAACGGCCACACUGGAACUGAGACACGGUCCAGACUCCUACGGGAGGCAGCAGUGGGGAAUUUUGCGCAAUGGGCGAAAGCCUGACGCAGCAACGCCGCGUGGAGGAUGAAGGCCUUCGGGUCGUAAACUCCUGUCGAUGGGGACGAAAGCCUGCAAAGGUUUGACUGUACCCGUUGAGGAAGCCACGGCUAACUCCAUGCCAGCCGCCGCCGUAAUAC
rnacentral:rRNA from 1 species